rnacentral:lncRNA from 1 species
UUAUAAUUCAACUGAGUACUGUUGUUAUUGUUAUAAUUCAACUGAGUACUGUUGUUAUUGUUAUAAUUCAACUGAGUACUGUUAUCGGAGACAUCAGGCUCCCAGAUUACGUAAAGGACCUACUGCAAAAAGGCCCAGCAUGUGCCACCUACCCGCGGGAAACCCCCCUGGACAAUGUACCAAUAGUGGAAGACCUGCUCCGCAACGUACAAGAAAGUGAAAAUACGAAGCACAGGUACAGAUGGCAAUAUGUAAGGGAAACCGUGAGCCAUGAACAAACUGUAAGAAAGAGCAAAGAUAGUACUUUAGAGGCCAAUCUGGUCAGAAAAACGACGACCUGGGCACGCCAGAACAACAUAAAGAUCACAAGAGAGGACAAGACGAAAAAGAUAGUACUAAUGAAUGAAAGCAUCUACGACGAUUUUUUGAGAAACUACAUUGACGAAUCGCAACCACACCGCCUGAACAAAGACCCAACCAUAAGUUUAGCGAGGAAAGUCAACAGAAUAGUGAGAAACAAGGCAUUCCCGCAAAUCUGGAAACAUAGUAUGAUCAUGGACCCCGUAUGUCCCAGAUUAUUCGCAUUCGUUAAGACACACAAGAGCCCAAUAGCUG